rnacentral:rRNA from 1 species
UACGUAGGGGGCUAGCGUUAUCCGGAUUUAUUGGGCGUAAAGCGAGCGCAGGUGGUUUAUUAAGUCUGGUGUAAAAGGCAGUGGCUCAACCAUUGUAUGCAUUGGAAACUGGUAGACUUGAGCGCAGGAGAGGAGAGUGGAAUUCCAUGUGUAGCGGUGAAAUGCGUAGAUAUAUGGAGGAACACCGGUGGCGAAAGCGGCUCUCUGGCCUGUAACUGACACUGAGGCUCGAAAGCGUGGGGAGCAAACAGG